UACGAAGGGGGCUAGCGUUGCUCGGAAUCACUGGGCGUAAAGCGCACGUAGGCGGAUUGUUAAGUCAGGGGUGAAAUCCUGGAGCUCAACUCCAGAACUGCCUUUGAUACUGGCGAUCUUGAGUCCGGGAGAGGUGAGUGGAACUGCGAGUGUAGAGGUGAAAUUCGUAGAUAUUCGCAAGAACACCAGUGGCGAAGGCGGCUCACUGGCCCGGUACUGACGCUGAGGUGCGAAAGCGUGGGAGCGAACGAGGAU
rnacentral:rRNA from 1 species